AUGGCCGCCACGCCGGAGGAGUUCCUGGGGCAGCAGAGUUUCCUUUCGCGGCUGGAGCCGCCCUCGCCGUCCCUGUUCCUCGGCCUGCCGCCGACGCCCCGCGGCGUGGAGGACGGGGACUCCUCGUUUGACGAUAUGGCGCUGCCCUACAUCUCGCGCCUGCUGGAGGAGGACAUGGAGGACCACUUCUUCUACCUGUACCCCAACCACCCCGCGCUCCUCCGGGCGCAGCUGCCCUUCGCGCAGAUCCUCGUCGACGUCGCCGACAGCGCCAGCGGCUCCACCUCCGCGCUCUCGCCGUCCUCCUCCACCUCCACCUUCGACGCCACUGCCUCCACAACCCCCAGCGCUACAUCGCCCUACGACGCAGAAAUCCAGAUCUCACGGCCGCCCUACACCCAAGUACUGGGCCUUGCCUCAGGUUCACCGGACACCCAGAGCUCGGCGCUCCUCAGCGGCGACGAGGAAGCCCAAAACCCUAGCUCUGACUUCGUCACUGGGAAUUAUUUGUUGCCCGGCGACCAGGACAUGCUCAACAUGGCCUUCCUCAAAGGCAUGGAGGAGGCGAAGAAGUUCUUGCCGCCCAACAGCAGCCUCCCGGCCAUGAAGGUGGAUCAAGUGGUGGGCGGAGCGCUCGCUGGAGCCGGCCUCAAGAAAAAGAGGGACACUCUAGAGCCAGACAUGGGCAGGGCCAGCAAAUUGAUGAUGCCGGAGCAGGAGGAGGAUGGCGCACGAGAGCUGUUCGAUGAAAUGAUGUUCCAGGAACACGAGAUAUGCAUGAAGGGGGUUCAGCAGCUUCGCAUCGCCGUGGACAGUGAACCCGGGAAGAACAGACGGAAGAAGGGUCGGCCAAGACGGGACUCGAGUGACAGUGAGAUGGUGGACCUGCACACGCUGCUGCUCAACUGCGCCCAGGCGCUGUCCACAGACAACCGCCAGACCGCAGGUGAGCUGCUGAAAAGAAUCAAGCAGCAUUCGACCCCAAAGGGUGAUGCGGCGCAAAGGCUGGCGCAUUAUUUUGCCGAGGCGCUGGAUGCACGGCUGGCGGGUAGGGGGAGCGAGCUGUACCAGUCGCUCAUGGCAAGGCGUACCUCGGUUGCAGACUUUCUCAAGGCCAACCAGCUUUACAUGGCAGCUUGCUGCUGCAAGAAGGUGGCGUUCAUCUUUGCCAACAAGACCAUCUGCAAUGCUGUGGUAGGGAAGAGCCGAUUGCACAUUGUGGACUAUGGUCUGAGUCAAGGACUGCAGUGGCCGGGCCUGUUACGUAUGCUUGCAGCUAGAGAAGGUGGACCACCAGAGGUGAAGAUCACCGGCAUUGACCUCCCUCAACCUGGGUUCCAUGGAGCCUACCAUAUUGAGGAGACGGGGCGCAGGCUCAGCAACUUCGCCCGCGUGUUCGGUGUGCCGUUUAAGUUCCAUGGUAUUGCAGCAAAGCGGGAGACAGUCCAGCCAGAGGACCUGAACAUCGACCGUGAUGAGGUGCUUGUGGUGAUUAGUCUUUGCCAUUUCAGGCUUUUGAUGGACGAAAACCUCGGCUUUGAUACUCCGAGCCCCAGGGAUCAGGUCCUUAACAACAUCAGGAAGAUGCUCCCAGAUGUGUUCAUCCAUGGCAUUAUGAAUGGUUCGUAUGGUGCUACAUACUUCCUGACACGGUUCAGGGAGGCACUGUUCAAUUACUCUGCCCAAUUUGACCUGCUGGAUGCGACAGUCCCCCGGGAUAACGAAGGGCGUCUGCUGCUUGAGCGUGACAUCUUCGGGCGGUCUGCCCUGAAUGUCAUUGCAUGUGAGGGCGCAGACCGGGUGGAGCGCCCUGAGACAUACAAGCAGUGGCAGCUCCGGAACCACCGGGCUGGGCUGACACAGCUGCCAUUGAAUCCAGAUGUUGUUAGGCUUGUGCUGGACAAGGUUAAGGACAACUACCACAAGGACUUCGUCGUUGAUGACGAUCAGCGGUGGUUGCUGCACAGGUGGAAGGGGCGUGUGCUCUAUGCCCUGUCAACAUGGGUUGCCGACAAUGCAACCUAG
rnacentral:rRNA from 1 species